rnacentral:siRNA from 1 species
ACUCGGCUUGGUGGUAGAGUGAUC